UGGGGGAUAUUGCACAAUGGGCGAAAGCCUGAUGCAGCGACGCCGCGUGGGGGAUGAAGGCCUUCGGGUUGUAAACUUCUUUUGCUCUGAACAAGGCGCACCAUGGGGUGUGUUGAGUGUAGGGGUUGAUUAGCGCCGGCUAACUACGUGCCAGCAGCCGCGGUAAUACGUAGGGCGCGAGCGUUGUCCGGAAUUAUUGGGCGUAAAGGGCUUGUAGGUGGCUGGUUGCGUCUGUCGUGAAAGCUCAUGGCUUAACUGUGGGUUUGCGGUGGGUACGGGCUGGCUUGAGUGCAGUAGGGGAGGCUGGAAUUCCUGGUGUAACGGUGGAAUGCGCAGAUAUCAGGAGGAAUACCGGUGGCGAAGGCGGGUCUCUGGGCUGUUACUGACACUGAGGAGCGAAAGCAUGGGGAGCGAACAGG
rnacentral:rRNA from 1 species